AUUGAACGCUGGCGGCAGGCUUAACACAUGCAAGUCGAGCGAGCGGCGGACGGGUGAGUAAUGUCUGGGAAACUGCCUGAUGGAGGGGGAUAACUACUGGAAACGGUAACUACUACCGCAUACCAUCAGAUGUUCCCAGAUGGGAUUAGCUAGUAGGUGGGGUAAUGGCUCACCUAGGCGACGAUCCCUAGCUGGUCUGAGAGGAUGACCAGCCACACUGGAACUGAGACACGGCCAAGACCCCUACGGGAGGCAGAAGUGGGGAAUAUUGCACAAGGGGCGCAAGCCUGAUGCGGCCAUGCCGCGGGUGUGAAGAAGGCCUUCGGGUUGUAAGGCACUUUCAGCGAGGAGGCGGUACUCGAAGAAGAAGCACCGGCUAACUCCGUGCCAGCAGCCGCGGUAAUUC
rnacentral:rRNA from 1 species